CCUACGGUGGGCAGCAGUGGGGAAUAUUGGACAAUGGGCGAAAGCCUGAUCCAGCCAUGCCGCGUGUGUGAAGAAGGCCUUCGGGUUGUAAAGCACUUUCAGUGGGGAAGAAAGCCUUGGGGCUAAUACCCUCGAGGAAGGACAUCACCCACAGAAGAAGCACCGGCUAACUCCGUGCCAGCAGCCGCGGUAAUACGGAGGGUGCGAGCGUUAAUCGGAAUUACUGGGCGUAAAGCGCGCGUAGGCGGUCUGAUAAGCCGGUUGUGAAAGCCCCGGGCUCAACCUGGGAACGGCAUCCGGAACUGUCAGGCUAGAGUGCAGGAGAGGAAGGUAGAAGUCCCGGUGUAGCGGUGAAAUGCGUAGAGAUCGGGAGGAAUACCAGUGGCGAAGGCGGCCUUCUGGACUGACACUGACGCUGAGGUGCGAAAGCGUGGGUAGCAAACAGGAUUAGAUACCCCGGUAGUC
rnacentral:rRNA from 1 species